UACGUAGGGUGCAAGCGUUGUCCGGAAUUAUUGGGCGUAAAGAGCUCGUAGGCGGUCUGUCGCGUCUGCUGUGAAAACUCAGGGCUUAACCCUGAGCUUGCAGUGGGUACGGGCAGACUAGAGUGCGGUAGGGGAGACUGGAAUUCCUGGUGUAGCGGUGAAAUGCGCAGAUAUCAGGAGGAACACCGGUGGCGAAGGCGAGUCCCUGGACAGAUCCUGACGCUGGAGGCAACGAAAGCUAGGGGAGCAAACAGG
rnacentral:rRNA from 1 species